GCAAGGGGCUAGAACACAGGUGCUGCAUGGCUGUCGUCAGCUCGUGUCGUGAGAUGUUGGGUUAAGUCCCGCAACGAGCGCAACCCUCGCCCUUAGUUGCCAUCAUUCAGUUGGGCACUCUAGGGGGACUGCCGGUGAUAAGCCGCGAGGAAGGUGGGGAUGACGUCAAGUCCUCAUGGCCCUUACAGGCUGGGCUACACACGUGCUACAAUGGCGGUGACAAUGGGACGCGAAGGGGCGACCCUUAGCAAAUCUCAAAAAACCGUCUCAGUUCGGAUUGCACUCUGCAACUCGAGUGCAUGAAGGUGGAAUCGCUAGUAAUCGCAGAUCAGCACGCUGCGGUGAAUACGUUCCCGGGCCUUGUACACACCGCCCGUCACACCAUGGGAGUUGGCUUUACCCGAAGGCGUUUCGCUAACCGCAAGGAGGCAGACGACCACGGUAGGGUCAGCGACUGGGGUGAAGUC
rnacentral:rRNA from 1 species